AUUGAACGCUGGCGGCAGGCCUAACACAUGCAAGUCGAGCGAGAGGCGGACGGGGGAGUAAUGUAUGGGGAUAUGCGCGAUAGAGGGGGGUAUCACCUGGAGACGGUAGCUAAAACAGCAUACUCUCGGGUGAACCCAUAUGGGAUUAGCUAGUUGGUGGGGUAAUGGCUCACCAAGGCGACGAUCCCUAGCUGGUCUGAGAGGAUGAUCAGCCACACUGGGACUGAGACACGGCCCAGACUCCUACGGGAGGCAGCAGUGGGGAAUAUUGCACAAUGGGCGCAAGCCUGAUGCAGCCAUGCCGCGUGUAUGAAGAAGGCCCUAGGGUUGUAAAGUACUUUCGGUAGCGAGGCGUUAACUACAGAAGAAGCACCGGCUAACUCCGUGCCAGCAGCCGCGGUAAUAC
rnacentral:rRNA from 1 species